GACCUCAGAUCAGGCAGGAUUACCCGCUGAACUUAAGCAUAUCAAUAAGCGGAGGAAAAGAAACUAACAAGGAUUCCCCUAGUAACGGCGAGUGAAGCGGGAAGAGCUCAAAUUUGUAAUCUGGCACUUUCAGUGUCCGAGUUGUAAUUUGUAGAGGAUGUUUCGGAUAAGGCUUUGGUUUAAGUUUCUUGGAACAGAAUGUCAUAGAGGGUGAGAGUCCCGUCUAGAACCGAUAGCCGCGUUCAUGUGAAACUCCUUCGACGAGUCGAGUUGUUUGGGAAUGCAGCUCAAAAUGGGUGGUAAAUUUCAUCUAAAGCUAAAUAUUGGCCAGAGACCGAUAGCGCACAAGUAGAGUGAUCGAAAGAUGAAAAGCACUUUGAAAAGAGAGUUAAACAGUAUGUGAAAUUGUUGAAAGGGAAGCGC
rnacentral:rRNA from 1 species